UACGGAGGGUGCAAGCGUUAUUCGGAAUUACUGGGCGUAAAGCGCGUGUAGGUGGUUUGGUAAGUCUGGUGUGAAAGCCCCGGACUCAAUUCGGGAAGUGCAUUGGAUACUGCCAAACUAGAGUACAGGAGGGGAGAGUGGAAUUCCUGGUGUAGAGGUGAAAUUCGUAGAUAUCAGGAGGAACAACAGAGGCGAAGGCGACUCUCUGGACUGUAACUGACACUAAGGCGCGAAAGCGUGGGGAGCAAACAGG
rnacentral:rRNA from 1 species